UGAAUACGAGACGCUAAGGCGUCGAAGUAGUGUAUGUCAUACUUCCAAGAAAAGCUUGCACUGUCAUAGAUAAAAAACGCCUGUACCAUAACCGACACAGGUGGGUAGGUAGAGUAUACUAAGGGGCGCGAGAUAACUCUCUCUAAGGAACUCGGCAAAAUAACUCCGUAACUUCGGGAGAAGGAGUGCCUUAUUCGUAAGGUUGCAAUAACAAGAUCCAAGCAACUGUUUAUCAAAAACACAGGUCUCCGCUAAGUCGUAAGACGAUGUAUGGGGGCUGACGCCUGCCCAGUGCCAGAAGGUUAAAGAAGUUGGUUAGCAAUUGCGAAGCUGAUAACUGAAGCCCUGGUGAACGGCGGCCGUAACGAUAACGGUCCUAAGGUAGCGAAAUUCCUUGUCGGGUAAGUUCCGACCCGCACGAAAGGCGUAAUGAUUUGGAUACUGUCUCGGAGAGGGGCUCGGUGAAAUAGACUUGUCUGUGAAGAUGCGGACUACCUGCACCAGGACAGAAAGACCCUAUGAAGCUUUACUGUAACUUGAAAUUGAAAUUGGACUUUAUUCGCGCAGUAUAGGUGGGAGGCGUUGAUUAUAAUCUUGUGGGAUUAUUGGAGCCAUCAGUGAGAUACCACUCUUGUAAUGUUAGAUUUCUAACUUUGAAUCAUUAUCUGGUCAAAGAACAGUUUCAGGCGGGCAGUUUGACUGGGGCGGUCGCCUCCCAAACGGUAACGGAGGCGUACAAAGGUUUCCUCUGAACGGUUAGAAAUCGUAUCUAGAGUGUAAAGGCAUAAGGAAGCUUGACUGUGAGACCUACAAGUCGAGCAGGGACGAAAGUCGGUCUUAGUGAUCUGACGGUACUGGAAAGGCCGUCACUCAACGGAUAAAAGUUACUCUAAGGAUAACAGGCUGAUCUCCCCCAAGAGUUCACAUCGACGGGGAGGUUUGGCACCUCGAUGUCGGCUCAUCGCAUCCUGGGGCGGUAGUACGUCCCAAGGGUUGGGCUGUUCGCCCAUGAAAGCGGUACGCGAGCUGGGUUCAGAACGUCGUGAGACAGUUCGGUCCAUAUCCGGUGUAGGCGUUAGAAUAUUGAGAGGAGCCUUCUUUAGUACGAGAGGACCGAGAAGGACAUACCUCUGGUGUACCAGUUAUCGUGCCAACGGUAAACGCUGGGUAGCUAUGUAUGGAGUGGAUAACCGCUGAAAGCAUCUAAGUGGGAAGCCCACCUCAAGAUAAGUAUUCUCAUG
rnacentral:rRNA from 1 species